rnacentral:rRNA from 1 species
UACGUAGGGGCCUAGCGUUGUCCGGAUUUAUUGGGCGUAAAGAGCGCGCAGGCGGCUUGGCAAGUCGGGUGUGAAAUCCCGGGGCUCAACCCCGUGACUGCAUCCGAUACUGUCAGGCUAGAGGUAGGUAGGGGAGAUCGGAAUUCCUGGUGUAGCGGUGAAAUGCGCAGAUAUCAGGAGGAACACCGGUGGCGAAGGCGGAUCUCUGGGCCUUACCUGACGCUCAGGCGCGAAAGCUAGGGGAGCGAACAGG